rnacentral:rRNA from 1 species
CCCAGACUCCUACGGGAGGCAGCAGUGGGGAAUAUUGCACAAUGGGGGAAACCCUGAUGCAGCGACGCCGCGUGAGCGAAGAAGUAUUUCGGUAUGUAAAGCUCUAUCAGCAGGGAAGAAAAAAUGACGGUACCUGACUAAGAAGCACCGGCUAAAUAUGUGCCAGCAGCCGCGGUAAUACGUAUGGUGCAAGCGUUAUCCGGAUUUACUGGGUGUAAAGGGAGCGCAGGCGGUACGGCAAGUCUGAUGUGAAAGCCCGGGGCUCAACCCCGGUACUGCAUUGGAAACUGUCGGGCUAGAGUGUCGGAGGGGUAAGUGGAAUUCCUAGUGUAGCGGUGAAAUGCGUAGAUAUUAGGAGGAACACCAGUGGCGAAGGCGGCUUACUGGACGAUUACUGACGCUGAGGCUCGAAAGCGUGGGGAGCAAACAGGAUUAGAUACCCGAGUAU